UACAGAGGUCUCAAGCGUUGUUCGGAUUCAUUGGGCGUAAAGGGCGCGUAGGCGGCCCUGUCAGUCGGGUGUGAAAGCCCGGGGCUCAACCCCGGAACGGCACCCGAGACGGCAGGGCUGGAGACCGGGAGAGGAGGGUGGAAUAGCCAGUGUAGAGGUGAAAUUCGUAGAUAUUGGCUGGAACACCGGUGGCGAAAGCGGCUCUCUGGCCCGGUUCUGACGCUGAGGCGCGAAAGCGUGGGGAGCAAACAGG
rnacentral:rRNA from 1 species